rnacentral:rRNA from 1 species
UCGUAUUGGUACUAAGCCAUGCGAGUCGUUGUAGCAAUACAAGGCGGACUGCUCAGUAACACGUAGUUAACUUAGCCUAUGGAUGGGAAUAACCUCGGGAAACUGAGAAUAAUACCCAAUGGGCCACAGUGCCUGGAAUGGCCUGUGGUUGAAAUGAUUUAUCGCCGCAGGAUAGGACUGCGGCCUAUCAGCUUGUUGGUGAGGUAAUGGCCCACCAAGGCUAUAACAGGUACGGGCUCUGAGAGGAGGGGCCCGGAGAUGGGUACUGAGACACGGACCCAGGCCCUAUGGGGCGCAGCAGGCGAGAAACCUUUGCAAUGUGCGAAAGCACGACAAGGUUAAUCCGAGUGUCUCCUGCUAAAGGAGUCUUUUGUCAGUUGUAGAAUCACUGGUGAAUAAGGGGUGGGCAAGUCUGGUGUCAGCCGACGCGGUAAUACCAGCACCUCGAGUGGUCAGGACGUUUAUUGGGCCUAAAGCAUCCGUAGCCGGCUCUGCAAGUCUUCGGUUAAAUCCACCUGCU